rnacentral:rRNA from 1 species
GUGGCAUUGCCGGGUAGCUAUGGUCGGACGGGAUAACCGCUGAAAGCAUCUAAGCGGGAAGCCCCCUUCAAGAUGAGACAUCCCUGAGACCUCGAGUCUCCUAAAGGGCCCAGCGAGACCAGCUGGUUGAUAGGCACGGUGUGGAAGCGCUGCAAGGCGUUGAGCUAACGUGUACUAAUGGCCCGUGAGGCUUGACCCUAUAACACCCAAGGGGU